UGACCGCAGGGGGACAAGUGACCACAAGGGGAGAGGUGACCACAGGGGUCAAUGUCCACCCCACAGAGCAGAUUCUAUGGGAGGGGGCAGGGGAGUAGACUCCCACCUUGCGCCCUGGACGCAGGCUGGCCAUGAACAGGGCCUUUGUUUCCUCCGAGCAUGUGGGCUGGCCUGGGGCUGACCUGCUACAGCUCACAAUCCCCAGUGCUUUGGGUCCCUCUGCCACAAGCCAGAGGUCUCAGGAAAAGUGCAGCAUGGUCACAACAGUGCAAAGUGUCUUGGAGGGGGCUGCAGGAACCUGAGGCAGCCGAGAGGACGUGACUGCUGAGGCCGACACCAGCUUUGCUCCAGAAACCAGAUCAGUGCAGACUUUCUCUAUCCUGCUCCAGUGGCUCCUGUGCAUCCAGGCAGAAGCAAUGCAAGUUUACUGCAAAUUGGGUUCCUGGUAGCCUUAGUUUGUCAUCAAAUAUUAUGCCACAAAGAGGGCCCCUGAGGGGAGCAGAGCUGGCCAGCGUGCAGAGGGCCAGCUCAGCUCAGCGCGUGGUUUCUAAGGAUAUCACCAUUAGACCACGGGGCCUCCAUGCCGGCCACCUGUACCUGCUGCCCUGUCCAGUGGAGCCCGCCCUGAGCCACAGGCGGACAGCUCUCUGGCCUCUGGGCAGAGCUGCGUCCCAGCCUGGCUGGGUGUGAGCUCAGCUGACUUGCUGCACACGUUACUCUGUCAUUGUGUAAACAUGGGUCCUCUUCAGGUGGUAUUUCAACCUCGGGUUUGAAACUUAGGUGACUUUUUCUUUGCUCCUUUUGGGGGUUAGACACAGGCCAAGCGCAGGGACCCAGCAGCCCUGACAGAUGUGCAGAGUUCCCCAGGGCGGUCCACCUGCCCCAGGUCCUUCUGGGAAUGGGGAGCUGCAGCCCCUCGGCCCGGGAGGCCCUGCCCACCGGGAAGUCCCCACCCAGGUCCCUGCAGGGCAGUCUUGGCCUCCUGGGGCUGCCGUGGGUUGAGGUGCCACCCUUGCCCUUGGCCCCGGCUCCGUGAGGCCCCCUCCCUGCCCCUGGGAGGGUGGGGGCUUCCAGAUGGGCUCCCUGUGCUCCAGCUUCCAGGCCUGUGCUGGCUCCAUGAGGCGCGGACACUUCAGUCUACAAGACGACGGCCCUGGAAUCCCGUGCAUGGUCCUGUCUUGCCCUAACCAACUCUGCUCCGGAGCCUGGGGCCAGCUUCCUUAUGACCUUGGGCUGAGGACAUCUGAUUGGCUGGUCUAGGCAAGGCCCACACUAGGCAUCAGGUCCACCCUACACGGAGGGCCACCGGGAACCCCCUGCAGCCUCCCCGGGACGCUGAGCUGGGCCUUUGCCCCGCCCCGAGGUACCAGGCAGGCCCUGAACAGGCCAGGUGGCCGCUGAGGCCUGGAGCCCACAUUCUGUAAGCCAGGGCUGCCCCAGGCCCAGGAGAUUUGAGGGGGCAUGAGCGUGGGAGGGUCCACCUGUGGCACAACUUGUGGGGCCCAGCAGCCACUGUUCAAAAAGGCUGAGACUGUCAAGGCACCGACAGAGCUGCGGCCCUGAAUUCCAUCAUGCAGCUCGGGGGGGACUGCAGACUGAGGGUUUGUUGGCAAAUGACGUCUGGUGGCUGUGAAGUGUUUACUCCCCUGCCUGCCCCAGGAUGGAACGCAGCUGUGUUGCCACACAAUGCCCUGCUCACUGUUUUCCUUACCUGGCCUGUACCCCAACACCCUCUGCCGUUCCCAGCCCACGGGGCCAUCUCGAUUCUUCCAGGGUUGCACCUGAACUCGCCCUUUGAGACCCGGCCUUGCUGUCUUCCCCUUGUUUGCUCAGCACCCUGCACACCUCUACCUGAGCGUCUGGGCUGCAGUAGAAACCUCACCCUACCUGCCACAGCCAGCUUCCAAGAUGGCACCAGUGGUCGUCACUCCUUGUGCUCACGCCCUUGUGGAGUCCCCUCCCACGCUGUAUCUGGGUUAGUCUGUGCGAUGGUCACUGACAUCCAAGACUAGGUCCCAAAUGACACUGUGGUUGCCUCCUUGCUCUCUCGUGGAUCACUUGCUCUGGGGGACGCCAGCUGCCACACUGGGAGGUCACACAAGCAGCUCUGUGGAGACACACGCGUGGCUGACAUCUUGGCUGCGACCUCAUGAUAAACCCAGUGAGAACGACCCGGCACCUCCAGAUCCCUGACCAUAGAGACUAAGGCUCAUACCUGGCACCCCCUCCUCCAUGCCAUCCCCAUCAAAACACAGCCAACUGCCAUCAGAAGGGACCUUCCCAGCUGGAGAAACCUGGAAGCAACUUUCAUCUAUCCCUCAGGCUUAUCCUCAGUAGCCCUGGUGACUGGUACUUAAUAAAGGAGAUGCAGUCAGAUGC